rnacentral:rRNA from 1 species
CGGGGGGGGCAAGCGUUGUUCGGAAUUACUGGGCGUAAAGGGUCUGUAGGUGGCUUGCUAAGUCAGACGUGAAAUCCCUCAGCUUAACUGGGGAACUGCGUCUGAGACUGGCGAGCUUGAGUGCAGGAGAGGAACGCGGAAUUCCAGGUGUAGCGGUGAAAUGCGUAGAUAUCUGGAGGAACACCGGUGGCGAAGGCGGCGUUCUGGACUGCAACUGACACUGAAAGACGAAAGCCAGGGGAGCAAACGGAAUUAGAUACCCCGGUAGUCCUGGCCCUAAACGAUGAAUGCUUGGUGUGGCGGGUAUCGAUCCCUGCCGUGCCGAAGUUAACGCGUUAAGCAUUCCGCCUGGGGAGUACGGUCGCAAGGCUG